GAGCUCAGUUUAUUGUUAUGCAUUUCAUUCUUUGUGAAAUAAAGAUUUGACAGACAACUCUCAUCUGCCUAAGGAGUUGUCAAAGUAGUAUCUAUUCUCUGUACAAUCAAACGUGUGUAUCUGUGGUACAGGAUGCAGCGGGAAAUGUUGUCAAUGUGGAGACGCCUGCAAAUGUGCAAGUGGCUGUGGAUGUUCCGGGUGUAAAGUUGUUUGCAAUUGUUCAGGUACUUGUGUGUGUGGAUGUGA